rnacentral:rRNA from 1 species
UACGUAGGGGGCAAGCGUUAAUCGGAAUUACUGGGCGUAAAGCGUGCGCAGGCGGUUAUAUAAGACAGAUGUGAAAUCCCCGGGCUCAACCUGGGACCUGCAUUUGUGACUGUAUAGCUAGAGUACGGUAGAGGGGGAUGGAAUUCCGCGUGUAGCAGUGAAAUGCGUAGAUAUGCGGAGGAACACCGAUGGCGAAGGCAAUCCCCUGGACCUGUACUGACGCUCAUGCACGAAAGCGUGGGGAGCAAACAGG